AUCAGAUUUGAUAAUGCUGGGAUGUGAUAGAGAGCUAAAUUAAGUAGCGUAGUAGCUGAUUUCACACAGUCAAGGAAAGUCUCUAUCGAGGUUAAAGGUACCCGUACCGGAAGCCGAAGAAGGUGGGUGAGGAGAGUAUCCUAAGGCCAGCGAGAGAACUGUUGUUAAGGAACUCGGCAAAAUGACCCCGUAACUUAGGGAUAAGGGGUGCCACCAUCAGGUGGCCGCAGAGAAUAGGCCCAAGCGACUGUUUACCAAAAACAUAGGUUUCUGCUAAGUCGCAAGACGAUGUAUUGGAGCUGACGACUUCUCGGUGCUGGAAGGCCAAGGGUGUCUGGUUGAGCAAUCGAAGCCGUUACCCAAAGCACCAGUAAUAGGAGGCCGGAACUUACACGUACCACAGGUUGGGACCAUACGUGACGGGUUAGUUCCCACCCGUAC
rnacentral:rRNA from 1 species